AUUGAACGCUGGCGGCAGGCUUAACACAUGCAAGUCGAGCGGAGAUGAGGUGCUUGCACCUUAUCUUAGCGGCGGACGGGUGAGUAAUGCUUAGGAAUCUGCCUAUUAGUGGGGGACAACAUUCCGAAAGGAAUGCUAAUACCGCAUACGUCCUACGGGAGAAAGCAGGGGAUCUUAGGACCUUGCGCUAAUAGAUGAGCCUAAGUCGGAUUAGCUAGUUGGUGGGGUAAAGGCCUACCAAGGCGACGAUCUGUAGCGGGUCUGAGAGGAUGAUCCACCACACUGGGAGUGACACACGGCCCAGACUCCUACGGGAGGCAGCAGUGGGGAAUAUUGGACAAUGGGGGAAACCCUGAUCCAGCCAUGCCGCGUGUGUGAAGAAGGCCUUAUGGUUGUAAAGCACUUUAAGCGAGGAGGAGGCUACUGAGACUAAUACUCUUGGAUAGUGGACGUUACUCGCAGAAUAAGCACCGGCUAACUCUGUGCCAGCCGCCGCAGUAA
rnacentral:rRNA from 1 species